GACAGAGGAGCCAAGCGUUGUCCGGAUUGACUGGGCGUAAAGCGCACGCAGGCGGUUGCGCGCGUGGGGUGUGAAAGCUGGUGGCUUAACUGCCAGACGUCAUCCCAUACGGCGCGACUCGAGCCCGUGAGAGGUCCACGGAAUUGCCGGUGUAGUGGUGAAAUGCGUAGAGAUCGGCAGGAACACCCAGGGGGAAACCAGUGGACUGGCACGGUGCUGACGCUCAGGUGCGAAAGCGUGGGGAGCGAACCGG
rnacentral:rRNA from 1 species